rnacentral:lncRNA from 1 species
CCCCUUUCCAGCACAUCCACGUGUGCCCGUGUCUUCCAGAGAGCCUCGGUUCUGCGGGACGGGGGGCUGCUUUGGAGCCCGAUUGUCCCGUUUCGGAGGAACAAAACCCCGUCCUUCGCAGAGCAGAUGCGGCUCUCGAUCUCGCGCGGAGAGGUGGGAGAACAGAAAGGAGAGCAGCAGCGGAGCGAGGAGACAAAGGCACGGCUCCUGUCAGGAGGAUGCGGGAUGCGGGAUGCUCUCCGCGCCUUUGUUCAAAGACCCUCUCCUUUCGGACUGGGCAUUUACCUCCUACCCUUUAAUUUCUUUUUUUCUGGGGAUCCCUAUGAGAGACGGAACCAGUUUUUGGUGGCAAAUCCACGGGCGAAUCGUAAAACUUGACCUUGUAGGAUAUGUUCUCUUUGGCGAGUUAGCUACCGAACAAGGUCAUUUUUACCGUGUUUUUGAAUACUCGUUUUAAAGCGAACAUUUCAUCUUUCCUUUCUUCACUAACCAUCUGUGUAAAAAUUAGGUGGAAAAGGGCCAUGUGUCGACAAACACACAGUAAAAUAAUAUAAUAUUUAUCCUCAUGAUCCCACUUCUCCCGCUGUCCUUUUCUGAACAGAGUUCGGGCCUAGAUCUAAUAGUCUACUGGGCAAUGCGGGUGUUUAUUUUAGCACAGUCAUGGAUAUAUAUGUUUUUUAAACACAGUUCUAGGCAUUUUCGGCUCGAGAGGGGAAGUGGUAAAUAUUUAUAGGGAGUGAACAUUAUGUGAAAAUAGAGUGAAUGAUAUAUGUUACAUCAUAUUAUAAGAACAUAUUUUCGAAUAAUUUUAAUAUAGAUCAUGAAUAUUGCGUGUACUCAUACCAUGAAUUAUUUAUGGAUUUGUAGUCACUGAAAAACACACUAUUUUUAAAAGAGAUUAUCCGAGAAUUGAUAUUUUUACAUAUAUAAUACAGUGUUUAGUUCAUCGUUAGAAAAAGACGCCAACCUUCAUGAAAAAUAGACGUGAUGUGUGAACUUUUUAAGUAGAGCACAAUUAAAGUAUUUGUCAAAUAAUUUCCUCACGCGGUUUAGUUUAAAUUCAGGGUAUAUCCUCAUAUAAAAAUAAGGAGAAAUGAUGAUUUAUCCCAAUCGCUUUUUUACCACGCUCAGUUAUAUUUGUAAUAUUCACUUUGAUUACUCAUUUUUUCAUAUAAUAUAUAAUAUGAACAAAUGUUUUGUCAACACCCAGGUGUGUGUUUCCACCUGCACUGCUGUCAAUUUACAAGAACCUAAAAUAAAAGGAAUGGCAGACAAAUAUUUUAAAGUGAU